rnacentral:rRNA from 1 species
UACGUAGGGCGCAAGCGUUGUCCGGAAUUAUUGGGCGUAAAGAGCUCGUAGGCGGCUUGUCACGUCGAUUGUGAAAGCCCGAGGCUUAACCUCGGGUCUGCAGUCGAUACGGGCUAGCUAGAGUGUGGUAGGGGAGAUUGGAAUUCCUGGUGUAGCGGUGAAAUGCGCAGAUAUCAGGAGGAACACCGGUGGCGAAGGCGGGUCUCUGGGCCGAUACUGACGCUGAGGAGCGAAAGCGUGGGGAGCAAACAGG